GACGUCGACUCGAACGUGAAUCCAAUGCCACCUGAGACUCCGGUUAGCCUCGUAACCUCCCAUGAAAGGUCCUUACGCCACUCCGCUUAUCCGAGAGACCCGUAAUCUGUCCAGACCGGGAUAUCCGGAGGUCGAGCUUAUCGAAUUCUGGCGUAAGCCAUGCAGGUGUUGUUAGUCAGAUUGGUAGCCGAGCUCACCUCGAACUGCAUUGAAACUGGCAACUAGAGUACGUAGAGGGGGGUAGAAUUUCAGGUGUAGCCGUGAAAUGCGUAGAGAUCGAAGGAAUACCAGUGGCGAAGGCGGCCCCCUGGACAGAUACUGACACUCAGAUGCGAAGCGUGGGGAGCAAACAGGAUUAGAUACCCUGGUAGUCCACGCCGUAAACGAUGUCUACUUGGAGGUUGUGGCCUGAGCCGUGGCUUUCGGAGCUAACGCGUUAAGUAGACCGCCUGGGGAGUACGGUCGCAAGAUUAAAACUCAAAUGAAUUGACGGGGGGCGCCCCCACACGGUGGUGGCAUGAUGUUUUUUUAUUUGCUACAACGAAGAAGAACUACUACACUACUCUUGACAUCCAGAGAACUUAGCAGAGAUGUUUUGGUGCUUUCGGGAACUCUGAGACAGGUGCUGCAUGGCUGUCGUCAGCUCGUGUUGUGAAAUGUUGGGUUAAGUCCCGCAACGAGCGCAACCCUUAUCCUUGUUUGCCAGCGAGUAAUGUCGGGAACUCCAGGGAGACUGCCGGUGAUAAACCGGAGGAAGGUGGGGACGACGUCAAGUCAUCAUGGCCCUUACGAGUAGGGCUACACACGUGCUACAAUGGCGCAUACAGAGGGCAGCCAACUCGCGAGAGUGAGCGAAUCCCAAAAAGUGCGUCGUAGUCCGGAUUGGAGUCUGCAACUCGACUCCAUGAAGUCGGAAUCGCUAGUAAUCGUAGAUCAGAAUGCUACGGUGAAUACGUUCCCGGGCCUUGUACACACCGCCCGUCACACCAUGGGAGUGGGCUGCAAAAGAAGUGGGUAGUUUAACCCUCUCUUGGAGUUUCAUCCAGGUUGCGGUGCGGCGGGAUGCAUCUACCCUU
rnacentral:rRNA from 1 species